rnacentral:rRNA from 1 species
UACGUAGGGGGGCAAGCGUUGUCCGGAUUUAUUGGGCGUAAAGAGCGUGUAGGCGGCUGGUAGGUCCGCUGUGAAAACUCGAGGCUCAACCCUCGAGAUGUCGGCGGAAACCACUUGGCUAGAGUCCGGAAGAGGAGAGUGGAAUUCCUGGUGUAGCGGUGAAAUGGCGCAGAUAUCAGGAAGAACACCUAUGGCGAAGGCAGCUCUCUGGGACGGUACUGACGCUGAGACGCGAAAGCGUGGGAGCGAACAGG